rnacentral:rRNA from 1 species
UACGUAGGGGGCAAGCGUUGUCCGGAAUCAUUGGGCGUAAAGCGUGCGUAGACGGUUACAUAAGUCGGGUGUGAAAGCCCCGGGCUCAACCUGGGAAUUGCAUUCGAUACUGGAUAGCUAGAGUUCGGCAGAGGGAAGCGGAAUUUCCGGUGUAGCGGUGAAAUGCGUAGAUAUCGGAAGGAACAUCAGUGGCGAAAGCGGCUUCCUGGACCAGAACUGACGAUCAGGCACGAAAGCGUGGGGAGCAAACAGG